CGCAUGAUUUGAUCAGCAUCUGAAUUCAAGUAUCAAAAUAGUAAUGCACAGUGAAUAGUAUAAAAAUUGCACUAUACGGCAAAAAAUUGCCGUCGUUGCCACAAUGAUCCACGGCAUUUUGUUCUCCCUCUACGGCAAUUGCCGCGAUAAAAUUCGUGCCCUGCUCACGACCAAUAGCCUGUCACUCGAACCAUCGAAGUUCUUGUUACAGGUCAUCCCAGAAAUGGAAGCGUUGGGGUGCAAUGAAUCGCCCUCCUUGGUGGCGUCACGUGCGAUCAUUUUUUCAUGGGAAUUCCGAAUCCGCAGUCUUCCCGAGUCUUAAAAGCACCGGCCUGCCAUUCGAGUGUGCGGGUAUACUACUAAUAAGGUUAUCCAUCUACUUCAAUAUUCAGUUGUAAACCAAGUGAAGUGCAGAAAAAUCUUUCAAGUUCUAUGGAAGGGAUAUAGCUACGAAAUAUAUAAUAUAUAUUGGGUUUCUAUACAUUUCGUAAUCGAUGCGUGCGAAAAAUUCUUGAUAAGCUGCUAUUUCGCACGCCAUUUCCAGGAUGACCUAUGCAGUGAACUCUAUAUAUAUAUAUAUAUCUGGAACGAUAACAUUCAGUCAUUUGAUUGUGAAAACAAUGAAGCCUCGAUACCAGUCUUUCACGCGGAUUGGACGUCAGUCUCAGUCCCUCAAACGUCAGGUUUACGCGGAUUGGACGUCAGUUUCAUUCCCCCUCUUGCAGACCG